rnacentral:rRNA from 1 species
UACGGGGGGGAGCAAGCGUUGUUCGGAUUUACUGGGCGUAAAGGGCGCGUAGGCGGCCAGCACAAGUCAGUUGUGAAAUCUCUGGGCUUAACCCAGAAAAGGUCAACCGAUACUGCGGGGGCUAGAGUGCAGAAGGGGGCAACUGGAAUUCUCGGUGUAGCGGUGAAAUGCGUAGAUAUCGAGAGGAACACCUGCGGCGAAGGCGGGUUGCUGGGCUGACACUGACGCUGAAGCGCGAAAGCUAGGGGGAGCGAACGGG